rnacentral:rRNA from 1 species
UGGGGAAUAUUGGGCAAUGGAGGAAACUCUUACCCAGCAAUGCCGCGUGAGCGAAGAAGGUCUUCGGAUUGUAAAGCUCUUUGAUUGGGGACGAAGUAAGUGACGGUACCCAAGGAACAAGCCCCGGCUAACUAUGUGCCAGCAGCCGCGGUAAUACAUAGGGGGCGAGCGUUGUCCGGAAUUACUGGGCGUAAAGGGUGUGUAGGCGGUUUUUUAAGUUAGAAGUGUAAUACCCAGGGCUUAACUCGGGUGCUGCUUCUAAAACUGGAAGACUUGAGUGUAGGAGAGGAGAAUGGAAUUCCUAGUGUAGCGGUGGAAUGCAUAGAUAUUAGGAGGAACGCCGGAGGCGAAAGCGAUUCUCUGGACUACAACUGACGCUGAGGCACGAAAGCGUGGGGAGCAAACAGG